rnacentral:rRNA from 1 species
UACGAAGGGGGCUAGCGUUGCUCGGAAUCACUGGGCGUAAAGCGCACGUAAGCGGCGUCUUAAGUCAGUGGUGAAAUCCUGGAGCUCAACUCCAGAACUGCCUCUGAUACUGAGAUGCUUGAGUCCGGGAGAGGUGAGUGGAACUGCGAGUGUAGAGGUGAAAUUCGUAGAUAUUCGCAAGAACACCAGUGGCGAAGGCGGCUCACUGGCCCGGUACUGACGCUGAGGUGCGAAAGCGUGGGGAGCAAACAGG